rnacentral:rRNA from 1 species
AUGCGGGUUGCGCCGCCAACCAUCUUCACCUACGGCAUCCUCAUGAACUGCUGCUGCCGUAUGGGUCGUCCGGACCUAGGGCUCGCCUACUUUGGGCGCAUCCUCAGGGCGGGCCUGAAGGCAAACCAGAUCGCCGCCAACACCGUCAUCAAGUGCCUCUGCUGCGCAAAACAUACCGACGAGGCUGUCAAUAUGCUGCUUCAUAGGAUGUCCGACCUCGGCUGUGUACCUGAUGCCUUCUCAUACAACACAGUUCUGAAGAGCUUGUGUGAAGACGGCAGGAGCUUGCAGGCGCUCGACCUACUGCUCCAGAUGGCGUCGAAGGAAGGAGGUGCCUGCUCCCCCGACAUGGUGGCAUAUAGCACGGUCAUCCACGGCUUCUUGAAGGAAGGCAAAGUAGACAAGGCAUGCAAUCUAUUCGAUGAAAUGAUGCGGCAAGGGGUUGUGCCUGAUGUGGUGACGUAUAGCUCGAUUAUCGAUGCAUUGUGCAAAGCUGGAGCAAUGUACAAGGCAGAGUUGUUCCUUCGGCAGAUGGUUGAUGAUGGUGUUCGACCGGAUGAGGUGACAUAUACUAGCAUGAUCCAUGGAUAUUCCACUUUGGGCCGGUGGAAACAGGUGCGUAAAAUGUUCAGAGAAAUGACAAGCCGUGGUCUUAUACCAGAUACUGUCACUUGGAACUCGUUCAUGGACUCCCUCUGCAAGCAUGGAAGAACCAAAGAAGCUGCAGAAGUUUUCUUUUCCAUGGCUGGAAAGGGCAGCAAGCCUAAUAUUGUCUCCUACACUAUUCUUCUUCAUGGGUAUGCCAAUGAAGGAAGCUUUGCUGAUAUGAUGAGUCUCUUCAAUUCAAUGAAAGGCGGCGGCAUUGUAGCCAACUGCAAAGUUUUCAACAUAUUAAUUGGUGCAUAUGCUAAACGAGGGCUGAUAGAUGAAGCUAUGCUCAUACUUACUGAAAUGCGGGGACAAGGACUGAGUCCGGAUGUAGUCACCUAUUCAACUCUAAUAUCUGCACAUUGA